CUCUCUGUUCGUUCUAUGCACCCGAAAAUGCGGUCGUUUCAUGCAUGUGCACCAAGAGUUCGUAAGCAGAAAUACCGCUGUAGGACGGACCAGACGUCCGGUUAAAGUGCCAAAAUCCCCGCUCCUAAAAUCCUAUGAAAGGUGUUGAUUGAUAGACAGCAGGACGAUAGCCAUGGAAUUCGGAAGACGCUAAGGAGUGUGUAACAGCUCACCUGGCUGGUGAACUUGCUCUGAAAAUGGAUGAUGCUUGAACGGGAAACCUGACCGGUGCUUGGCUUGUAUGUUCCUCGUAUGGGAGAUUCGCCUGGCCGCAACGAUUAAAAGAGUGACAAUGGUUUUGCGUUGAAGGCUAUGGGCGCAGGCACGGCUGGAGCUUCCAGUGGUG
rnacentral:ncRNA from 1 species